AGUCCAGGCAGAGUCCGCUUCUUGGUCCUCCCUCCUGCGCGCACCACACGGCCCCGGGGCGAGAGACGCGUCUCUCCUGCCCCAGGUCCGUGGAGUCGACUCGCUACAGACAGGCCGGGCGCCUGCAGCUCCUCCGACCGAAAAGGAAAAGGGCCCAGGGUUGUUGCAGGACUGAAAUCGCUUCCUCCGAAGCAAACCCUCCUCGCAGCCUCAGCGCUUGCGACCCGGCAGGCACCUGUCUCCUCCACAGACGCAAAGCUGACGGCGGUCUUCUCGGCCCCGUGAGACUCAUGAGGCUCGCACUGGGAGAAAAUGGUCCUUGGGGGGGAAGCAGCCGCUGUCCAGACGGCCGCCAAAAUGCCUUGCCCUGGGCCACUAACAGAUGAAUAAGUACACUUGGGAGACACCAGACCCUGGUAACUAGAGGACUGAAAUAACCAGAUUUGUAUCCACUUUUCCAUCCAGAGAAGCCAAACCGUAUCUAGGCCUCAUUUUUUUUGUCUUGAAUCAUUUUUGUGGAAGUGAGGACCGGCUUACAAAGGCCUCUCCACAUGCCAAAGUCUGUCUCACCACUUCCUACCCCAGGAUGUGGAGCCCAUUUGCAUUUCCCCUAGAAUCCAUCCAGCACCCGGAUGUACACACACCCCUGACUAACAAGCAAAGGGGCUACGGAGAAAGGGGGCUACAGAAGGAACAAGGACAAGCUUCCAUUUAUGCCCCCCGCCCCAGACACAGCUUCGAGAUAGUGCACCCGGGAGGCAUUCCUGUCUUAAAUCUAACCACCGAGGCCCCAGGUGUACUGUUUCCCAGUCGGCCUAAUGGGAUUGAUCUUGUCCAAAAAUGUGAAUUAGAAAAUAGGAUAACGAUGUCCUGGGAUUAGAUCAUACUGAUGGUUGCACAAUUCUGUGAAUCUGUCAUCCCUCCGUAUCCAAGGGGGAUUGGUUCCAGGACCCGCCUCAGAUCCCAAAAUUUGAGAAUGCUCACCUUCCUUAUAUAAAAUGAGGUAGUAUUUGGAUAUAACCUAGGUACAUCUUCCCGUAUACAUUAUAUCAUCUCUAGAUUACUUAUAAUACCUAGUACAAUAUAAACACAAUAUAAAUAAUUGUAAACUUAAUGUAAAUGAUAUGUAAAUAGUUGCACCAGCAAAUUAAAGUUUUACUUUUUUGGAACAUCCUGGAAAUGUUUCUUUUAAUUUUUUUCAACCCACCGUUGGUUGAAUUCACAGAUACAGAA